rnacentral:rRNA from 1 species
GAUGAACGCUGGCGGCGUGCCUAAUACAUGCAAGUCGAGCGAACAGACGAGGAGCUUGCUCCUCUGACGUUAGCGGCGGACGGGUGAGUAACACGUGGAUAACCUACCUAUAAGACUGGGAUAACUUCGGGAAACCGGAGCUAAUACCGGAUAAUCUAUUGAACCGCAUGGGUCAAUAGUGAAAGACGGUUUUGCUGUCACUUAUAGAUGGAUCCGCGCCGCAUUAGCUAGUUGGUGAGGUAACGGCUUACCAAGGCAACGAUGCGUAGACGACCUGAGAGAGGGAUCGCCCACAUGGGAAGGGAGACACGGUCCUGACGCCUACGGGACGCAGCAGUAGGGAACCGGACGCAAUGGGCGAAAGCCUUACGGAGCAAGGCGGCGUGAGUGAUGACGGUCCUCGGAUCGGAAAAACCUGUUAUUAGUGAAGAACAAAUGUGUAAGUAACUAUGCACGGCUUGACGGUAAUUAAUCAGAAAGCCACGGCUAACUACGUG